AUGUUCUGCAGACGGGCAUGGCAGAGAGUCGGGCCGCUGGCACGGAGGUCUUUCAAGCCGACACACAGAUACGCUCCGGUGCGACACAUGGCCUUCGGUGUUCCCGGAGGCUCCACCAACAUGACGUACUUUGUUUUGUGUGGCGGCGGCCUCACUGCGGCAGUUGUUUAUGCAUACAAGACGGUCAACGAUGAUACCGAGCGUUACGAGGAAAGACUCGCCAACAUGGGCUCCAUGGCGAAGGCUUCUUCAGCAAAGGCAGCACCAGAGGCAGCUCCACCUGCAGUUGAGCCUGCACCAGUGGAGGAGGAAGCCCCUGCUGCUGAGGUCAUUGCUGAGUCGGCCACUGCUGCUGCUGCAGAACCUGUAGGAGAGACAGCUGCUGAACCUGUUGUGGAAGCUGCAUCUGAAGAAGCAGAAGCUGCCGCCGUCUCUGAGGCGGUCGUUCCAGAGGCAGCAGCUGAGACGGCAGCUGAGACGGCAGCUGAGUCAGCAGAGACGGAGGACGCCGCUCCACCUGUGGAGGCAGAGGUGUUUGCUGAAGCGGCUCUGGAGGCCCCAGCAGAGGAACCAGUGGCAGAAAACGCUGAGUCUGCACCAGAGCUGCUCACAGAUGUUAAGCUCUUGACCGGCUCAACAGCUGAAAUUGCUGCUGCUUCUGUUGGUGAGAAGAAUCCGAUGGAGACUGUCCAACAAACUGAAGGUGAAGGAAAGGGACACAAGGUGCUCGAAACAGAAGCUUUGGAAGAAGCCUCAGAGGCAGUGGCCAAGGAAGCAUCUGAAGAGGGAGCAGUUGUAGAAGGUGAGGAGGAGGUGAAGUCUGGAGAAGGUGAGAAAAGUGCAGAAGAUGCUCAGACUCCAGCUGCUGAAGAAGUGAUAGCGGAGGUGACAUCUGCUCUGGCUGCAGCUGUGGACAAGGAGGCAGCGGCUGGAUCUCAUCCUGAGGAAACAACAUCUCCAAUGCCCACUGUGGACGAGGCAGAGGCUGAAGUUCAACCUGCUCCUGAGGAGGCCAUCGCUGCUGAAGAUGCUGCUGAAGAUGAGGCUGUCUCCUCUGAAGAUGCUGCUCCUCCCGAGGAGGCCACAGUCACCGGUGAAGGUGCCCCACUGGAUGAGAUUUCAUCAGCUGACCAGGCAGCAGCUGAAACAUCUGCAGAGGAGACAGCUGAAGCUGCUGUCAGCACAACUCAGCUGGCAGCAGCCUCCGUUGGAGCGGACCUAGAGGUUCUUUCAGUUGCAGAAACAGAGCCUACAUCAGGAUCUCCUGUGCAUGAGGAGAAACCCUGCCACUCCUGCCACUCUGCUCCCUCAGCAGGAGAGGAGGUGGCGCCACCUGCUGCUGUAGGAGAGGAGCUGAUCGCCGAUGGAGCUGUGGAUACUUCACAAGAAGCCAAGGACGCAGCCUCAGCACAAAAGACAAAGGAGUCCAACUGGACUGUAAAACGCUGCUCAGUCAUGUAAUUUUACAGUUAAGAAGCCAUGGAGGCGACGGUGGUGGUGAUAGCCCAGUCGUGACGGGACAGACAGUGUGCCUUCCACAACACUCGCCUAUCUGUCAACCAAGCCAGAGCGACCGGCGGAAAACAAAAAACAUGAAUAGAGGUAGUCACAGGUGUAACUGACUCGAACGUCCUUUCUGAAAUGUUAUCAGAGUUGUCUUCUGUAUUAGUGCUUGUGAGGUGAUUCCUAUCAUGUCCUCUAGGUGCCACUGUUGCAAAACCUUUCAUGAUCAGCUGAGGCUUCUUUAAAUCUUUCAGCAGGCAGUGGAAGUGGGUUACUGUAAUACUGUGUUUUAUUUUAGUACUGUGAUAGACCACUUUUAUAGAUAAUAAGCUUGCCAAUGUGGACAAGACUUUUUAAUGGGAGUGUCACCUCAGUGUGAUUUACCUGCUCAUAUCAGCUCACAUACAUGUAAUAACUUUAUUUCAGAACCAGAGUUACAAAGUUCUUCAAAAUAUUUACAAAAAACAAUCUUAAAACAGUAGAACGUUUAUAAAAUGAGAACUGCACAAAUAGAUGUAUAAAGGUGAGGAAAAGCAUCAGGUUUAAUAACAGAUAACAAAAUCCAAAAGAGGCAAAUCACAGACAAUGAAGUGAAGAGCAGGGGCAUCUUCAGAAUUUUUUUUCAUAGGAGUGGCCAUAUGGGGGCCACUAAAAAUAUUGGGAAUUUCCAGUUUUAUUAUGCUGUUGUCAAAUAUUGGUUACUUAAAAAGAAGAGAAGAGAAGAGAAGAGAAGAGAAGGGCAGGACUAUUUAUACACCCGGGGCUAACCGGUUUUGUGUUACUCUAACGAAAUGGUACUAAAACAGGAGAAUGAGACACAGGUGAAAGUAAUCAGGAUAUUCAGACAGAUGAGUAAAACCCAAAACAAACUAUCAAAAUAAAAUAAAAAAACAAUCCACAAAACAGGAAGAAACACUGAGGGAAGUAAGCAUGUGAGAAAUCCAUCUAUCCAUCCAUUUGAGUGUGAGUUAUCUUGCCUGUUGUUACAGGCUGUUCAGUUCUUUUACAACACAGUGAGAGCUUGGUCCGUAUUGCCAAUAAUAAGUUGGAUUUAGUCCUGAUCGCAGUUUGACAGCCAGUGCUGUCCUCUGUCGGGGAUUAUAUUCCUAAUUUCUAUGGACAGGAUUUCUGUGUGUAGGCAAGCACGGGAAAGUCUCCGGUUUUGUGGCUGAUCGAUCUCAAGUGCUUUGAGUGCUCAAGCAGAGUAGAAAAGUGCUAUAUAAGAAUCAGUCUAUUUACCAUCUAAUAUCUGUUUUUUAUGGAUGUGGUUCUGUUGGCUUCAUCAGGUGACCACCUCCAUCUCGCACUGGGGUGGUUCGCAGCUGAGUUUGAAGCAAUGAGAAUGAAAAUGAUCUCCUCUGAGCCUGGGUGGAGUGCUCACUCUGGGUGAGAGAUGAGUUGCUGUGCUAAGUGAAAGAGUCUAAGUAUCUCGGGGUCUUGUUCACAAGUGAAACGAACAGGAGACUGACAAACAGAUCAGUGUUCCAUCCGCAGUGCGGACACUGUACCGGUCUGUUGUGGUGAAGAAAGAGCUGAGCAUGAAAAUAAAGCUGUCCAUUUACCAGUUACCAACCUUACCUAUGGUCACAAGCUCAAGGUAGUGGAUACAAUAAUGUCAUCUCAAAUACAAGUAAUGGAAAUUCCUCUAACUUAGAAAUCGGGUGAGGAGCUCAGUUAUUUAUGAGUGGCUUAGACUGGAGCCGCUACCCCUCAGCAUUGAAAGGAGCCAGCUGAAGUGAUUCAAGCAUCUGACUACGAUACUUCCUGGGUGCCCUCUGGGUGAGGGCAGACCCAGCACACGCUGGAGAGAUUAUAUCGCUCAGCUGGCUUGGACACAUCUUGCUAUCGCCAUAAAUAAGGUGGAGGAGGUGCCUGUGUAGAGGGAGGUCUGGGCUUCUCUGUGUAAGCUGCUCCCCCACAAUCCAAACCCAGAUAAGUGGCAGAAGAUGGAUGGAUGGAUGGAUGGAUGGCUGGCUGGCAGACAAUCUUUUUCUCAUAAUACAAAGGCAGGUACUUACAUGACUGUCUUAUUAUCCAUAUAUAUUAGAAUUUUCUAGGUUUUAGUCUUCCUCUACAACUACAAUAAAAAAAAUAAGUGGGGUUUUAUUUACUCAAAGGAAAAAAGAAUUUUGUUUGUCAAAUGGCAGAAAAAUAUUGUUGUUGUUUAUAUUUUAGCUUCUGCAACAAAAGUUUGCUUUGAGUGGUUUAAAUAUUAAGUAUGUGAACGUCAGUGCUUCCAGUUAUGUAAGAGUGACACAAAAGCUUUAUUUUACAUACAGAAAUAAACAUGUUAUUGAUGCACUUUUCCUUCUUUUCUGAUACCACUAGCACCUAAAAUAGUUUAGAAAAAAGUGUUGAAAGGUUAAACACACAAACACAGACACAUAUACACACAUACGGAGGUGAAAAAUACCUGAUGCCAGAAAAUAUCCCGUAAACACACUUCCACAUCCAUACCAACACCUGUCUAUACUUACACAAAUCUCCAUUUAUGUGCAGACUGGGUAAGAGAAUAAGAGAAAAUGAUUGUAGAUAUACAGAUUGAAACUUUGUUUAAUAUAUUUGCAUAUUAAACAGUAACUUUAAAGCUUGUAAUUAGCAAAUUGCUCUGCAAAUGACUUCUCUGUUGUCUGAUAAUGUGCUCAAAUUUUAAAUAAAGUGAUGUAAUAACACAUGAGAUCAUAUGUUUUUGAGCAUUUGUCUGUUCUUUUUGAUCUUUUUGGAUUAACUUGCUCAAAGGCAAACAGAAGAAAGAUAAAUUAUGUGUCCCCUUUGCUCAAGUUUGUGGUGCAGAACAAGUUGAUGUGUUGUCAACUUUAGGAGUGCCAAAAUCUACAGUCUACUUUAUUCUUAAAAAAGGAGGAUUAUUGUUAUUGCUGAGCACUGGCCAGUUCAGCAAUAACAAAAGGCCAUGAAGACCACAGAAGACAUCUAAGGUGGGUGAUUGCUGAAUUCUUUACUUGGUUACGAAAAACAACUUCACAAUAUCCCGUCAAAGUCUACAAUCAAGAGAUACAUUAAUGUACAUGAGACAAAAUUAGACUUUACAAGAAAACACCUAAAAGAUCCUGCAGAGGGUUGGACAGAUUAAACUGAGAAAAACUUGUGCUCAUGAUCUGAAGAACAUAUCACCACUCAAAGAUAGUGGAGGUAGUGUAAUGGCAUGGCCAUGUGCCACUGGGACAGAGUUCCUUAAUGAUGUGACUGCUUACAGAAGCAGCAGGAUGAAUUCUGUAGUGUACAGGGCUAUAAUCUCUGCUUAGAUUCUGGCAAAGGUGGCAAACACGAUCCAGUGCAAAUGGAUAAUGACCCAAACUGCAAAAGCAACAAAAAAACAGAUAUUCUUCAGUGGCCAAGUAAUGAUCUCAUGUUCUCUAUGCAAACAGAGCAUGCUUUUCAUUUGCUGAAGACAAACCCGAAGGCAGAGAUCCACAAACAAGCAUCUGAUGAGAGGAAACGGCAUGUGGUCUGCACUUCAGUCACGUGUGGACUGUUUGAUUUAAACCCCACUGUGUACUGCUGUAACGAAUGACUCUUUAAUGUGUUGGUGGGCUGGGAUUGUUUAUGAUACGGCGUGACGUCACUAGUGUCACUUGCCUGAACAAGCAGAGUAAACUGACCGAGCCAGUCUCCAUGAGCCUCUGCAGACUCGAACGACCGCUUCGCAGCUCACUCACUGACCCGCAUUUACACCCCAGAAUCGCGGAAGACUUGAUUCUGGUCGGCCGAGAGGCUCCGGGAGGUCUCCUCCUCCCCCUCCUCACCAUGAAGGCGACCAGCUAACGCUAGCCGAGCAGUGUCCGCUAACAGCGGGACUCCUCCGGGCUGACAGUUUACAGCAGCGGCGGGUUCAGAGGAGGAGGGGGUUAGCACCCAGCUAACCACACACUGCUGCCUGUGAGCCGAUCAGGAGCUGAAAGGAAGGAUUAGACG
rnacentral:lncRNA from 1 species